UAACACAUGCAAGUCGAACGAGCGAAAGGUGCUUGCACCUCUAGCUAGUGGCGGACGGGUGAGUAACACGUGAGCAAUCUGCCUUUCAGUGGGGGAUACCAAUUGGAAACGAUUGUUAAUACCCCAUAACAUAACGAAGCCGCAUGACUUUGUUAUCAAAGAUUUAUUGCCGGAAGAUGAGCUCGCGUCUGAUUAGGUAGUUGGUGAGGUAACGGCUCACCAAGCCGACGAUCAGUAGCCGGACUGAGAGGUUGAACGGCCACAUUGGGACUGAGACACGCCCAGACUCCUACGGGAGGCAGCAGUGGGGAAUAUUGCACAAUGGGCGAAAGCCUGAUGCAGCGAUGCCGCGUGAGGGAAGAAGGUUUUAGGAUUGUAAACCUCUGUCUUUGGGGACGAUAAUGACGGUACCCAAGGAGGAAGCUCCGGCUAACUACGUGCCAGCAGCCGCGGUAUUACGUAGGGAGCGAGCGUUGUCCGGAAUUACUGGGUGUAAAGGGAGCGUAGGCGGGAUUGCAAGUCAGGUGUGAAAUUUAGGGGGCUUAACCCCUGAAACUGCACCUGAAAACUGUAGUUUCUUGAAGUGAAGUAAAGGGUAAGCCGAAAUUCCCUAGUGUAAGCGGUGAAANGCGUAAAUAUUAGGAGGAACAUCCGUGGCGAAGGCUGCUUACUGGGCCUUACCUGACGCUGAUGCUCGAAAGCGUGGGG
rnacentral:rRNA from 1 species